UGCCUAACACAUGCAAGUCGAACGAAGGCUUCGGCCUUAGUGGCGCACGGGUGCGUAACGCGUGGGAAUCUGCCCUCAGGUUCGGAAUAACAGCGAGAAAUUGCUGCUAAUACCGGAUGAUAUCGCGAGAUCAAAGAUUUAUCGCCUGAGGAUGAGCCCGCGUAGGAUUAGCUAGUUGGUGUGGUAAAGGCGCACCAAGGCGACGAUCCUUAGCUGGUCUGAGAGGAUGAUCAGCCACACUGGGACUGAGACACGGCCCAGACUCCUACGGGAGGCAGCAGUGGGGAAUAUUGGACAAUGGGCGAAAGCCUGAUCCAGCAAUGCCGCGUGAGUGAUGAAGGCCUUAGGGUUGUAAAGCUCUUUUACCCGGGAUGAUAAUGACAGUACCGGGAGAAUAAGCUCCGGCUAACUCCGUGCCAGCAGCCGCGGUAAUACGGAGGGAGCUAGCGUUAUUCGGAAUUACUGGGCGUAAAGCGCACGUAGGCGGCUUUGUAAGUUAGAGGUGAAAGCCUGGAGCUCAACUCC
rnacentral:rRNA from 1 species